AUGAGCUCGACUCGAGGACGAGCCAAAAUUCACUGUGAGAGGAUUGUUAGUGGCCAAGUUCACUAUUCCUAUGAGCUCUCUGUUCCUGACAAUUUAUAUCUGAAAAUUUUGGUAGACUUCCCUACCUUGGAGCUAGUGAGCUGUAAACUCCCACAGGAAUCGCGUCCGAUUUGGGAGCCAGUGAGCUCUGAAGGCGUGACAAGUAUGGUAGCAUUUGAGUUCUUUGCUUAUGUUACCAUAUCGAGCUCCCGCAGUCUGGAGUUUUGUCAAAGGAAGUUUUCAUGGGAUCCAAGCAUCUGGGCACUCCUAUGUUUAUUUGGAUUGCUCAUACAAGCUAAAACAGCAGGGAGGAGGAAUAUUGCAGAUCCAGCUUACUACCGAAUCCACUGCCUCGACCAUGCUUACUACUUCAACCAAGUUCAUGUUAACCAACACUACUACCUUGACGAUUUCUGUGACCAAAUGAACCUCAGCGACGACUACUUCCUUGAGCAAGUCGGAAUCGUCUGGUAUCUCAACCUUGCCAAGUUUCGCCUCAACUACGGCACCCACUGUGACCUCGGCGAAAUCAUGAAGCAUCAAGUACCAUGGAGCUUCGCCAUGGCAUCGGCUUGA
rnacentral:rRNA from 1 species